UACAGAGGGUGCGAGCGUUGUCCGGAAUCACUGGGCGUAAAGGGCGCGUAGGUGGCCUGAUAAGUAGGGGGUGAAAUCUCGAGGCUCAACUUCGAGGCUGCCUUCUAAACUGUCGGGCUUGAGCAGAGUAGAGGCAGGUGGAAUUCCUGGUGUAGCGGUGGAAUGCGCAGAUAUCAGGAGGAACACCGAUGGCGGAAGGCAGAUCUCUGGGCCGUAACUGACGCUGAGAGCGAAAGCAUGGGGGAGCGAACAGG
rnacentral:rRNA from 1 species